AAAAAACCUUGAAAAUCUCCCAAUCUCCUUUCCUUUUCACUUUGCUUCUCCCUCUAAACCCUUCGCUCUCUUCUUCUCUUUCCAGACUACACGCCAUGGCCAAGCAUUGGGUAUACUUGUACGACGUCGUAAGAUCGUAAAAAUAUUGCUCUCUGGUUUUGAUUCUAAACGCUGUUCAGAUCCAGCUUCAAGACUCUUAUCGCUAUAACCAGCGAGGAUUUUGUUAGUGAUGAGAGAGGGCUUGCGAUCCAGCGCCAAAUUGUUGGCGAAAACUGACGAUGGUGAGUCGUCGCCUUGCCAAGCAACCGUUAAAAUGGAGGUAGACAGUACUGAAGAAAGGGGCUUCAACUCGGCUGCUGAGAGCACCCCAAAAUUGGUUGCUUCUUGGACUGAAAAAGAUAUAUUAGUUUCUGCCCCAAAAGAAGAAACAGAGAUGAAUCAGAUUGAUGGGUCAAGAUAUGAGGAAUGUGGUGCUGGGAGUGAUACUGAUGAGGAUAACGUUGUGAAGUGUGCUAAUAGUAGGAGGAAAAGAACUAGAAUAGAUCAUCAGGGAGAGAGUAAAGAUGAUAGUGUCAAAAGACAGAAGGUGAAGGAUGAGCCUAUUGAUGUUAAAUUGCAGGUUGUUGGUACGGUUCUGCGGUCAAGGUCUGGGCAAAAAACUGAGAGGGGACAAAGUAAUGGUGGUUUUGUUGGGAAAAAGACCACAAGGAGAGGUGCGUUUGAGGAGAAGCGGGUCAAUGUGGAAAAAGAAGAGAGUGGUCAUUUUGUUGGCAGGUACGGUUAUCAUUUAGGUAACAUGAAGAGGAAAAAAUUAGUGCGCAAACGGGGGAGGCCUCCCAAGUCUCUGAAGAGUGAGUUUCAACUAAAAUGGGGUGAUGUGGUGAGGGAAGAGAUUGAACAAUCUGCUGAUCGAGAGAGUGUAAAAAAGCUAAAGCGUAAGCGCGGGCGGCCUCCCAAGUCAUCAAAGAAUCAUGAGUCUCAGAAAAAGUGGGGUGACUUGGAAAAGGAAGGGAUUGGUUUGUCUGCUAGUCAAGUGAGCAGUCAGAAGCCUAGGCGCGGGAGACCGCCCAAGUCUCAGGGGAGUGAUCUGUUUGAGAAGAAAAAGGUUGAGGAAGAGGUUAAUCAAUCUGCUGGCAAAGAGAGUGAUCAGCCUGAAGGGAGGAAAAACAUAAAGCCUAAGCGUGGGAGGUUUCCCAAGGCUCAGGAGAAUGAUGAGUAUGAGAAAAAGAGGGAUGAGAUGGAAAAGGAAAGGAUUGAUUUAUCUGCUAGUCAUCAGACGGAGAAUGAAGAGAUUGAAAAAUUAAAUUCUAGUCCUGGGAGACUGUCCAAGGCUCUGGGGAGUGAUCUGUCUAAUAAGAAAGGGGCUGAGGUGGAGGAGGAAGAGUGUGAUCAAUCUGCUGGCGAAAUGAGUGAUCAGCCAAAUAAUGAAUGGAGGGAAAACUCGAAGCAUAAGCAUGGGAGACCACCAAAGGCUCAGAAGAAUGAUGGAUCAGUAAUGAAAAUGUUUGACAUGGGAAAUGAAGAAACUGAUCAACCUGCUUGUAAAGAGGGUGAUGAAUCUUAUGGAGAAGUGAGGAAGAAGCUGAAGCCUAAUCGUGGGAGACCUCCCAAGGUGAAUAAGGGUAAAAUGAUGCAUGCACUGAGGAAAAACAAAUCAGUAAAACACAACAUACAUGUUAUGAACCACAAUGUUGGGAAUAAUAGUUCAUUGGCAGGAAAGGGACUUGGGAACGAAUACAACAUGAGAUUACUGCGAGCUAGGAAGAUUACCUGCAGCAAUGAUGAGAAGGAAGGAGGGAAAACUAAACAGAACGCAGGGGAAAUGGGACACGGUAGAUCACUGAGGCAGGCAGUGAGAGAUAAAAUUGUGGAAUUGCUUUUGGGUGCUGGCUGGGAGAUUCAAUAUAGGCCAAGGAAUGGUAGAGAAUACAAGGAUGCAGUGUAUGUUAAUCCUGAAGGAAGGACUCACUGGUCCAUCACCUUGGCUUAUCGGGUGCUUAAGAAGCAUUAUGAAGAUGGAAAAGGUGAUUCAAAUACCUGUAAGUCUGAUUUCAAAUUUACUCCAAUUCCAGAUGAGGAACUUAGCAUACUUACUAAAGUAAUGAAGAAGGUACGAUCAGACAAAAAUAAAAAGAAAAGGAAAUGGAGCCAAGAGAAGGGUGAGAAAGAAACUGAAGUAGUUACUAGAAGGAAAAAGUGGAAACUGUGCAAAAGAAAACUGGGUGCUGUGGCCGGUGUCAACUCUAAGAAGUUGAAGGGAAGAACAAAACUGAGAUCCUUGCAUUGCAGACAGAACGAUUUAGCCUGUACAACGGGCCAGGAAACAGCAGUGUCUGUCAGAGGUCGGAAGCGACUUGAAACACAUGGUAGAAAGCGAUGUGCUCUGAUGGUUCGAAAUUCUCAAGAGGGCAAAGAGUCUGAAAGUGAUGGCUAUAUGCUGUAUAGUGGGAAGCGAACUGUGCUUGCCUGGAUGAUUGAUCUGGGCACUGUCCGGCUAGAUGAGAAGGUGCAUUGCUUGAAACAGAGGAAAACACGAGCUGUGAUGAAGGGUAGGAUUACAACAGAUGGCAUUCGUUGUGACUGCUGUAGUAAAAUUUUUACAAUUGCAGAAUUUGAGGCUCAUUCAGGUGGCAAAUUCAGUCAGCCAUUCAAAAAUAUAUAUUUAGAGACUGGAUCUUCACUCCUGCAGUGCCAGCUAGAUUCAUGGCUUAAACAAGAUGAUUCUUCUCGUAAAGGGUUCCAUUUCAUUGAUAUUGAUGGUGAAGAUCCUAAUGACGAUACAUGUGGGAUUUGUGGAGAUGGUGGGGACCUGAUUUGUUGUGAUGGUUGCCCAUCAACAUUCCAUCAAAGCUGCCUAGAGAUAAAAAAGUUCCCCUCCGGGCUCUGGCGUUGCUUAUAUUGUUUGUGCAAAUUUUGUGGCAUGGCUGGUGGGAAUACAUUUCAGAGAGAGAAUGAUAAUGCUUCUUCAUUACAUGCAUUACUUACAUGUCGUUUCUGUGAGGAGAAAUGUAUUGACUCUUUCUUCAUAGAGUUUUGAUGCACAGUUGUAUGUUACUUUUUUUUACUGUACUAGAAUUUGCAGUGGUUGGUGUCAUUAAAUUGAUCUGUAUUAUGAGAUUUCUUUUGCUGUAGAUCACCAAUCCUGUGCUUUGGUGAAGGAUGCUAUAAGUGAUGAUUGUGAUAGUUCGGCCUUUUGUGGGAAGAAAUGCCAAGAGUUAUACAAGAGACUGCAGAUACUUUUUGGGGUAAAACAUGAACUGGAUGAAGGAUUUUCAUGGACUUUUGUUCGUCGAUUUGAUGUUGGCCCUGAUAUUUCUCUCAUUGAGCCUCAUAAAGUUGAAUGCAACUCAAAGUUGGCUGUUGCAUUGCAUAUAAUGGAUGAGUGCUUUUUGCCCAUGGUUGACCAUAGAAGUGGCGUCAAUCUGAUUCGCAAUAUUGUCUAUAAUUUUCGGUCCAAUUUUCACCGAUUGAACUAUAGUGGUUUCUUCACUGCAAUCCUAGAGAGGGGGGAUGACCUAAUUGCUGCUGCAUCAAUUAGGUAUAUUCACUUAAUAUUUGUGCCAUUCUAUAGAUCACAUCUGGAAAGAAUGAAUAUUGUCAGGAAUAAUUUCUAGCAUGAACAGUCUUCUGGAACAUAACUCUAAUUUUGUACAUCUCAUUAUACCUAUCUACUUUCUAGCAAGAACAGUCGUCUGGAACGUAAUGCUAAUUUUGUACAUCUCAUUAUCCCUAUCUACAAGGCAUUGGAUAAAUGCAUGCACGUGUUGUAAUAUGAGACAUUAAAAAUUCCAAAUGGGGACACAUGAGCAGAUGCAAUUUUAGCCGGAAUGAAUUUCAUUUUAAAGGAUUGAUUUGCUUUGGAUUAGUUUUGUUGACUAUAUCACCGUUCCCUAUAUGAUUUAGUUGAGCACUCUUGUUGAAGAAGAAACCCUUGAAUUUAGUUUUUGAAUAAGAGUACAUAACAUAAUAAAAUGUUUGACAUUUUAACAAAAUUAUAUGUACGAGAUUUCUAUUUUUGAAGGUAUACUUCUCAUGAGUUCACCCCUUCCUUUUUUCUUUGGUGUUGCCUUGUUAUCUUGCCCACCAUGUUUAUUGAAUGGCCACUUAUGUGUCUAAGCAUGUUGGUUUGUGGGUCUUGUGAGUUUAGUGCAGUUGUUGCAAUAUUCUAUUUAGGUUUUAUCAUCUAGAGAAACAAGUUAAUAGAUGAGAAUGUAAUUCAUAGGAUCAAAUAGGAUAGAUGAAAUAGAGGAUUGCAAUGGGUGUAUCAUGUGAUUUGUACAAAUGAAUGUGGUCAGACUAGUUAUAUUGUAUGGGAGUAAAUGUUGGGCAUAUAAGGAACAACAUAUUUACAAGAUGAGUAUGGCUAAAAUGCGGAUGUUUAGAUAGAGGUUGCUAACUCAACUCAACUCAAUUAAGCC
rnacentral:misc_RNA from 1 species